UGCUAAAGUUGGUUAUGUGGACACUUUUCUAGCGAGUGAGUCUGCCUUCAAGCCGUAUUGCCUAUGGGCUUGUUUGAGACAGAUUAUCAUGGAUAGAACGCUGAGUCCUGAACUGUGGCAGAGAAGCCAGCAUGCUGGAGCCUGUGUACUGUGAAAAGCCGUCUUAGCCGAAUAGCUAAGCCACAGGUGCUCCUCAUGGAAAGUCUAAUCAAGUGUCACAGCCAAAGGCAAAUUUUUGGAGAGCAAAUAGUAUGCCACCUGCCUGUUCAAAUGUGCAAUGGUUUUCCGAAGUCCUCAAAGUAAAGCCUGAAAUCCUCAACUUGGCCUAGAAGUCCGGAAUACUUCUGAAACAAACUCUUCCUUCCUGUCCUCUGCCUGUAGCAGAAAAUAGACAAGCCAAGCAGAUGUCCAGAGAUGGCGGAGGAGUACCUCGGCUGCAGCUUCCU